rnacentral:rRNA from 1 species
GACGAACGCUGGCGGCGUGCUUAACACAUGCAAGUCGAACGGUAAGGCCCUUCGGGGUACACGAGUGGCGAACGGGUGAGUAACACGUGGGUGAUCUGCCCUGCACUUCGGGAUAAGCCUGGGAAACUGGGUCUAAUACCGGAUAGGACUCCGGACUGCAUGGUCUGGGGUGGAAAGCUUUUGCGGUGUGGGAUGGCCGCGCGGCCUAUCAGCUUGUUGGUGGGGUGGUGGCCUACCAAGGCGACGAGGGGUAGCCGGCAUGAGAGGGGGACCGGCCAGACUGGGACUGAGAGACGGCGCAGACUAGUACGGGGGGCAGCAGGUGGGAAGAUUGCACCAUGGGGGGAAGCCUGAUGCAGGGGCGCCGCGUGAGGGAUGACGGCCUUCGGGUUGUAAACCUCUUUCAGCACAGACGAAGCGCAAGUGACGGUAUGUGCAGAAGAAGGACCGGCCAACUACGUGCCAGCCGCCGCAGUAA